UACGUAGGGCGCAAGCGUUAUCCGGAAUUAUUGGGCGUAAAGAGCUCGUAGGCGGUUUGUCGCGUCUGCCGUGAAAAUCCGGGGCUCAACCCCGGACUGCGGUGGGUACGGGCAGACUAGAGUGUGGUAGGGGAGACUGGAAUUCCUGGUGUAGCGGUGAAAUGCGCAGAUAUCAGGAGGAACACCGAUGGCGAAGGCAGGUCUCUGGGCAUUAACUGACGCUGAGGAGCGAAAGCAUGGGGGAGCGAACAGG
rnacentral:rRNA from 1 species